rnacentral:rRNA from 1 species
GACGAACGCUGGCGGCGUGCUUAACACAUGCAAGUCGAACGCUGAAGCUUGGUGCUUGCACUGGGUGGAUGAGUGGCGAACGGGUGAGUAAUACGUGAGUAACCUGCCCUUGACUCUGGGAUAAGCCUGGGAAACUGGGUCUAAUACUGGAUACGACAUGUCACCGCAUGGUGGUGUGUGGAAAGGGUUUUACUGGUUUUGGAUGGGCUCACGGCCUAUCAGCUUGUUGGUGGGGUAAUGGCUCACCAAGGCGACGACGGGUAGCCGGCCUGAGAGGGUGACCGGCCACACUGGGACUGAGACACGGCCCAGACUCCUACGGGAGGCAGCAGUGGGGAAUAUUGCACAAUGGGCGUAAGCCUGAUGCAGCGACGCCGCGUGAGGGAUGACGGCCUUCGGGUUGUAAACCUCUUUCAGCACGGAAGAAGCGAAAGUGACGGUACGUGCAGAAGAAGCGCCGGCUAACUACGUG